rnacentral:rRNA from 1 species
UACGAAGGUGGCAAGCGUUGUUCGGAUUUACUGGGCGUACAGGGAGCGUAGGCGGUUGGAUAAGCCCUCCGUGAAAUCUCCAGGCUUAACCUGGAAAGUGCAGAGGGGACUGUUCAGCUAGAGGAUGGGAGAGGAGCGCGGAAUUCCCGGUGUAGCGGUGAAAUGCGUAGAGAUCGGGAGGAAGGCCGGUGGCGAAGGCGGCGCUCUGGAACAUUUCUGACGCUGAGGCUCGAAAGCGUGGGGAGCAA